CUCAGCCCAGGUCUGAUCCUACAGCAAAUCUAAAGGUCAGGGAGCUUUUCCAAUAAUCAGCAGGUUUAACAGUCCUGGUUUUGUAUUUUCCAGAAAUUGUCCCUAAGGUGUUCCACGAGACUGAUAGAAAGGCUGAUACUCCUGCAGGAGGAGGACCAAGUCACAAACUACAAGUGAGUCCUGUGCUGUGACGAAUGCAAGAAAGGACACUGAGAAUUAGACACCGGGUCUUUACUGCUGUCCGAUGCGACGGGGGAGUGGGGAACCCCUGGAAAGAUCACCACCUGCACUGGAGCUGGGGUUUCUCGUCUGUU
rnacentral:lncRNA from 1 species